rnacentral:rRNA from 1 species
AAGUAGGGGAUCGCAAGACCUUAUGCUUUUGGAGCGGCCGAUGUCUGAUUAGCUAGUUGGUAAGGUAAUGGCUUACCAAGGCGACGAUCAGUAGUUGGUCUGAGAGGACGACCAGCCACACUGGGACUGAGGCACGGCCCAGACUCCUACGGGAGGCAGCAGUGGGGAAUUUUGGACAAUGGGCGAAAGCCUGAUCCAGCAAUGCCGCGUGAGUGAAGAAGGCCUUCGGUUGUAAAGCUCUUUCAGUCGAGAAGAAAAGGUUGUGACUAAUAAUCACGGUUCAU